GCGGGUGUAGUACAAUGGUAGUAUGUUAGCUUCCCAAGCUAAAGACGGCGGUUCGAUUCCGCUCACCCGCUCCA
rnacentral:tRNA from 1 species